rnacentral:rRNA from 1 species
AUGAACGCUAGCUACAGGCUUAACACAUGCAAGUCGAGGGGCAGCAUGGUCUUAGCUUGCUAAGGCCGAUGGCGACCGGCGCACGGGUGAGUAACACGUAUCCAACCUGCCGUCUACUCUUGGACAGCCUUCUGAAAGGAAGAUUAAUACAAGAUGGCAUCAUGAGUCCGCAUGUUCACAUGAUUAAAGGUAUUCCGGUAGACGAUGGGGAUGCGUUCCAUUAGAUAGUAGGCGGGGUAACGGCCCACCUAGUCUUCGAUGGAUAGGGGUUCUGAGAGGAAGGUCCCCCACAUUGGAACUGAGACACGGUCCAAACUCCUACGGGAGGCAGCAGUGAGGAAUAUUGGUCAAUGGGCGAGAGCCUGAACCAGCCAAGUAGCGUGAAGGAUGACUGCCCUAUGGGUUGUAAACUUCUUUUAUAAAGGAAUAAAGUCGGGUAUGGAUACCCGUUUGCAUGUACUUUAUGAAUAAGGAUCGGCUAACUCCGUGCCAGCAGCCGCGGUAAUACGGAGGAUCCGAGCGUUAUCCGGAUUUAUUGGGUUUAAAGGGAGCGUAGAUGGAUGUUUAAGUCAGUUGUGAAAGUUUGCGGCUCAACCGUAAAAUUGCAGUUGAUACUGGAUAUCUUGAGUGCAGUUGAGGCAGGCGGAAUUCGUGGUGUAGCGGUGAAAUGCUUAGAUAUCACGAAGAACUCCGAUUGCGAAGGCAGCCUGCUAAGCUGCAACUGACAUUGAGGCUCGAAAGUGUGGGUAUCAAACAGGAUUAGAUACCCUGGUAGUCCACACAGUAAACGAUGAAUACUCGCUGUUUGCGAUAUACAGUAAGCGGCCAAGCGAAAGCGUUAAGUAUUCCACCUGGGGAGUACGCCGGCGACGGUGCACCUCAACGGAAUUGACGGGGGCCCGCACAAGCAGUGGAGUAUGUGGUUUAAUUCGAAGCAACGCGAAGAACCUUACCAAGUCUUGACAUCCUUCUGACCGGUACUUAACCGUACCUUCUCUUCGGAGCAGGAGUGACAGGUGGUGCAUGGUUGUCGUCAGCUCGUGCCGUGAGGUGUCGGCUUAAGUGCCAUAACGAGCGCAACCCUUGUUGUCAGUUACUAACAGGAUUUGCUGAGGACUCUGACAAGACUGCCAUCGUAAGAUGUGAGGAAGGUGGGGAUGACGUCAAAUCAGCACGGCCCUUACGUCCGGGGCUACACACGUGUUACAAUGGGGGGUACAGAGGGCCGCUACCACGCGAGUGGAUGCCAAUCCCCAAAACCUCUCUCAGUUCGGACUGGAGUCUGCAACCCGACUCCACGAAGCUGGAUUCGCUAGUAAUCGCGCAUCAGCCACGGCGCGGUGAAUACGUUCCCGGGCCUUGUACACACCGCCCGUCAAGCCAUGGGAGCCGGGGGUACCUGAAGUGCGUAACCGCGAGGAGCGCCCUAGGGUAAAACUGGUGACUGGGGCU